AUUUUAAGUGUGGUGUUUUUCAUUGAUGCCUUUUAUUGAGUUGAGGAAUUUUCCUUCUAUGCCUAGUUUGUUGAGAGUUUU